rnacentral:rRNA from 1 species
UACGUAGGGUGCGAGCGUUAAUCGGAAUUACUGGGCGUAAAGCGUGCGUAGGCGGUUCGUUAAGUUCGUUGUGAAAGCCCCGGGCUCAACCUGGGAAUGGCAAUGGGAACUGGCGGGCUUGAGUGUGGCAGAGGGGGGUGGAAUUCCGCGUGUAGCAGUGAAAUGCGUAGAGAUGCGGAGGAACACCGAUGGCGAAGGCAGCCCCCUGGGCCAACACUGACGCUCAGGCACGAAAGCGUGGGGAGCAAACAGG